AUUGAACGCUGGCGGCAUGCCUUACACAUGCAAGUCGAACGGUAACAUGUCUUCGGAUGCUGACGAGUGGCGAACGGGUGAGUAAUACAUCGGAACGUGCCUAGUAGUGGGGGAUAACUACUCGAAAGAGUGGCUAAUACCGCAUGAGAUCUACGGAUGAAAGCAGGGGAUCGCAAGACCUUGUGCUACUAAAGCGGCCGAUGGCAGAUUAGGUAGUUGGUGGGAUAAAAGCUUACCAAGCCGACGAUCUGUAGCUGGUCUGAGAGGACGAUCAGCCACACUGGGACAGAGACACGGCCCAGACUCCUACGGGAGGCAGCAGUGGGGAAUUUUGGACAAUGGGCGAAAGCCUGAUCCAGCAAUGCCGCGUGCAGGAUGAAGGCCUUCGGGUUGUAAACUGCUUUUGUACGGAACGAAAAGCCCCGGGUUAAUACCCUGGGGUCAUGACGGUACCGUAAGAAUAAGCACCGGCUAACUACGUGCCAGCAGCCGCGGUAA
rnacentral:rRNA from 1 species